AGUCUGUUGGUUGGUUUUAUGACAGGUGUUUUCUGCCCGGUGUUCUUAGGAAUAAACGGCCGCGGUACUCUGACCGUGCAAAGGUAGCAUAAUCACUUGUCCUUUAAUUGUGGGCUGGAAUGAAGGGAAGUAUCGUGGGCUUAGCUGUCUCUUUUCUGUUUUUUGAAUUUGCUGUCUGUGUGAAGAAGCAUCGUUGGUAAAGAGGGACGAGAAGACCCUAUUAAGCUUUACUUCUGUGGCGUGGUUUUAGUCUUUUACGUACUUAGGGCUGUUCUUGGGGGUUUGGUUGGGGUGACCAGAGAAGAUUUAGAUCUUCUCUUUUUGUUGUUACUUCCUGUUGGGUUUGGAUCCAGGAUUUUUUGAUUCAGGGAAUUAGUUACUAUAGGGGUAACAGCGUAAUUUUUUCUUAAAGUUCUUAUUGAAGAAAGGGAUUGCGACCUCGAUGUUGACUUGUUGUAUCCUCUUUAGGUGUAGUGGCUGGGAGGGUUGGUCUGUUCGACCAUUGAAAUGGC
rnacentral:rRNA from 1 species